AUGGCGGGCGGAGGAGCGGGCGGAGGAGCGGAAGCCGCUGAUGGCCAGCGAGUCGAGGCCGUCGUGACGGCCGGCGGCGCAACACAAGGCCGCGGAGGAUCUGGUUCUGGAGGUCGUCACCAUGCUCGUGUAGUCAAGUUUCGACCACGUUCGCCCUCAUACAUCCGUCGGCGGCGGCAAUUCAGUUGCGGCGCCAAGAUCCUUGACUUGGACGAGGACAUAGGGGCUGAUGGUGAAGCAGGUGUAGGCCGUGGAGGCACUGUACCUGGCGCUGCACCGGGGCAUGCGGCUAACCAGGUCGGCACGGCAGCAGGUGUUGGGCAGGUCAGCGCAUCCGUAGGUGUUGGGCAAGACGGCACAGCGACAUCAGUCCGUCCUACGGUUGACCAUGACGUAGCGGCCGCAGGUGUUCGGGAUGUUGCAGAGAAGAUGCACAAGAACUACUAG
rnacentral:rRNA from 1 species